UGGAAUGGCUGGAGAAGUGAUGGGAAC
rnacentral:piRNA from 1 species